UUAUGGCUCAGGAUGAACGCUGGCGGCGUGCCUAAUACAUGCAAGUCGAACGAGGUAAGCAAUACCGAGUGGCGAACGGGUGAGUAACACGUAGGUAACCUGCCCUUAAGCUGGGAUACCCAGAGGAAACUUUGGCUAAUACCGGAUAACAACAGAGAAGGCAUCUUCUUGCUUGAAAGGCCCCUUCAAGGGUCACUUAAGGAUGGACCUGCGGCGCAUUAGCUAGUUGGUGAGAUAACAGCCCACCAAGGCGAGGAUGCGUAGCCGAACUGAGAGGUUGAUCGGCCACAUUGGAACUGAGACACGGUCCAAACUCCUACGGGAGGCAGCAGUAAGGAGUUUUCGGCAAUGGGGGAAACCCUGACCGAGCAACGCCGCGUGAGCGAUGACGGCCCCUUAAUGGGUUGUAAAGCUCUGUUGUAAGCCAUGAAUGAUAGCUUUAGGAAAUGAAAGCUAUUUGACGACAGCUUACCAGAAAGCCACGGCUAACUACGUGCCAGCCGCAGC
rnacentral:rRNA from 1 species